UGGGAAUUUUGGACAAUGGGCGCAAGCCUGAUCCAGCCAUGCCGCGUGCGGGAAGAAGGCCUUCGGGUUGUAAACCGCUUUUGUCAGGGAAGAAAUCUUCUGAGUUAAUACCUCGGGAGGAUGACGGUACCUGAAGAAUAAGCACCGGCUAACUACGUGCCAGCAGCCGCGGUAAUACGUAGGGUGCAAGCGUUAAUCGGAAUACUGGGCGUAAAGCGUGCGCAGGCGGUUUUGUAAGACAGAGGUGAAAUCCCCGGGCUCAACCUGGGAACUGCCUUUGUGACUGCAAGGCUUGAGUGCGGCAGAGGGGGAUGGAAUUCCGCGUGUAGCAGUGAAAUGCGUAGAUAUGCGGAGGAACACCGAUGGCGAAGGCAAUCCCCUGGGCCUGCACUGACGCUCAUGCACGAAAGCGUGGGGAGCAAACAGGAUUAGAUAGCCCUGGUAGUCCACGCCCUAAACGAUGUCAACUGGUUGUUGGGAAGGUUCCUUCUCAGUAACGUAGCUAACGCGUGAAGUUGACCGCCUGGGGAGUACGGCCGCAAGGUUG
rnacentral:rRNA from 1 species